UAAGGAAUAUUGGACAAUGGAGGCAACUCUGAUCCAGCCAUGCCGCGUGAAGGAAUAAGGCCCUAUGGGUUGUAAACUUCUUUUAGACGGGACAAAACCCCUUUACGUGUAAAGGGUUGAUGGUACUGUCAGAAUAAGCAUCGGCUAACUUCGUGCCAGCAGCCGCGGUAAUACGAAGGAUGCAAGCGUUAUCCGGAAUUAUUGGGUUUAAAGGGUGCGUAGGCGGACUAAUAAGUCAGUGGUGAAAGCCUGCAGCUUAACUGCAGAAUUGCCAUUGNUACUGUUAGUCUUGAGUUCAGUUGAGGUAGGCGGAAUGUGUCAUGUAGCGGUGAAAUGCUUAGAUAUGACACAGAACACCGAUUGCGAAGGCAGCUUGCUAAGCUGUAACUGACGCUGAGGCACGAAAGCGUGGGGAGCAAACA
rnacentral:rRNA from 1 species